CAGCACUUGGGAUCUCAUGCCUUUGAUCCCAGUACUUAGAAGGAGAAAACAGGAAGUGAUAUGGUUGGACAGAAAGAGGAAGUGAUAAGGCGGGGUGCAGACAGGAGCUCGGACCCUUUCAGUCUGAGGAUUCCUAGAGACCAAUUAGGAUUCGCACUACCCAUGAGAUCAAGACUCUGUCUUGUGAAUGACUAAAGAACCAUAAAGCAGUUGGAACCGAAAGUGUCCAUUGCCUGGGAUGCCUGAAAAUCUGGGAAGGAGGAACACACCUGGGUUCCUUGACCUCUAGUGACUGCUAAGAGGAAAAGCCACCAGGGGCAGCAGCCAUCGAGGGCUAAUUACUGGGGACAGGAGCAGCUGAGAAUGGUCGUCAUGGGCUCGUGCCCGGAGCACCCAGGCUCAGGAUUGAGCGCAGCCAUCUUUUGUCUGGCUGGACUGGCAGGUGAGCAAUGAGGGCGCUUGGAACGAGCAGGUACCGGAGACAGCUGAAGAGUGCUCUGCACCAUCCAUCCAUCCCUGCCCGGACCAUGAAGCCCACAGUAGCACAUCCCUCCAGGAGAGCUUAAGCAUCCUCGGAAAGCGGUCUAAAGAGCACAGGCUCCCUCAGUUGGUCCUUUCUAAAAGAAAUAAAGAAACCACAAUAACAAA